UAAGUAGGUAGUGAAAUCGUGUGGCUCAACCAUGCUCACAUUAUCUAAACUGCAAAGCUAGAGGGCGAGAGAGGUUACUAGAAUUCCCUGUGUAGGAGUGAAAUCCGUAGAUAUAGGGAGGAAUACCGAUGGCGUAGGCAGGUAACUGGCUCGUCCCUGACACUAAGGCACGAAAGCGUGGGAGCGAACGGGAUUAGAUACCCCGGUAGUCCACGCCGUAAACGAUGGAUGCUA
rnacentral:rRNA from 1 species